rnacentral:lncRNA from 1 species
AAGAAGGCCAUGGACGAGGAGAUUGCUGCAAUAAGAAGGAAUGACACGUGGGAGCUAACAAGUCUGCCAGAAGGACAUAGCCCGAUUGGUGUCAAGUGGGUGUACAAGACGAAGACCAACAAAGAAGGAAAAGUAGAGAAAUACAAGGCAAGACUAGUCGCCAAAGGCUACAAGCAAAGACAAGGAGUGGACUAUGAUGAAAUAUUUGCUCCAGUCGCAAGAAUAGACACAAUUAGGCUUCUCAUAGCGGUCGCAGCACAAUACAAAUGGAAAAUCUAUCAGAUGGACGUCAAGUCUGCAUUCCUGAAUGGCUACUUGGAGGAGGAAGUCUACAUAGAACAACCACCUGGAUAUAGCAUACAAGGAAAGGAGGACAAAGUCUACCGAUUGAAGAAAGCUUUGUAUGGAUUGAAGCAAGCCCCAAGAGCAUGGAACACAAGGAUCGACGAGUACUUCCGAAGAAAUGGAUUCAUCAAAAGCCCGCACGAGCACACCCUGUACACAAAGAAGAAUGGAUAUGGAGAUAUCAUGAUCGUAUGCCUAUAUGUGGAUGACAUGAUCUUCACCGGAAACAAUCCAGGUAUGUCUGAUGAUUUCAAGAAAGCUAUGACUAAAGAAUUUGAAAUGACAGAUAUCGGUGAGAUGUCAUACUUUCUUGGAGUCGAGGUGAAACAAAUGCAAGAUGGAAUUUUUGUCUCUCAAAAGAAGUAUGCGGAGCAGAUUUUGAACAAGUUCAAAAUGAAGGAUUGCAAGCCAGUAAUCACGCCAGCUGAUCCAGGGAUGAAGCUAAGUGUUGAUUCGACAAGGGAGUCGAUAAAUCCGACGUUGUUUAAAAGUCUCGUUGGAAGUUUAAGGUAUUUGACAAUCACACGACCAGAUAUUACAUAUGCAGUAGGAUUGGUGAGCAGAUUCAUGGAGAAGCCGAUGCAAGACCACUUAAUUGCCGCAAAAAGAAUUUUGAGAUAUAUCAAAGGUACGAUGAACCAUGGUUUAUUCUAUACCCACUCACAAGAUUCAAAAUUAGUUGGCUACUCAGAUAGCGAUUAUGGGGGAGACUUGGAUGAUCGGAAAAGCACUUCCGGAUAUGCAUUCCACAUCAGUUCCGCAGUUUUUUCAUGGUCGUCAAAGAAGCAACAAACAAUUGCUCUCUCAACAUGUGAAGCAGAGUAUAUGGCCGCAGCAACUUGUACAUGCCAAGCAAUGUGGUUGAAGAAUAUUUUGGGAGAAAUAGGUGUUUCAAAUGAAGGUCCAAUUACCAUCUACGUUGACAACAAAUCCGCUAUAUCACUUGCCAAGAAUCCGGUGUCGCACAGCCGAAGCAAGCACAUCGAUACGAAGUAUCAUUUUAUCCGAGAGCAAGUGAAAAACAAAAACGUGGAGUUGGUCCAUUGCAGGACAGAAGAUCAACUGGCAGAUAUUUUCACAAAGCCGUUGAAAGUGGAGACAUUCAACAAAUUCAAAGAGAAGCUCGGUAUGAAAGUUGGGUUUGAGGGGGAGUGUUAGAAAUCAAACCCACUCCAAGCAUAAUCUAGAAGCAUGAGACGUGGAGCAAUUUUGUGCCAUGCAAAGUGCUGAAAUUUUAGCCAUACAAAGUGCUCCAUUAUUGAGAUGUUUUGUGGCUGGAAAUUAAGUGGAUUAAUAGCCACAUUUGUUGUCACUUUAUCAGCCUAUAAAUAGAGGCUUGAACUUGUGUUGUAAA